CUCUGUUGAUAAGAGUGAUUAAUGAAACAAUUUAGUAAAAGUAGAAUCCUCAAAUACAUCAUUUGUUUUUGUUAUUAGAUUUUCCCUUCGCUUAAUAAAACAUUAAAUCGUUCAACGCAGCACCCGUCGCAUUUGGCGACAUAAAUUUAUGAACUGCAUUUAUUGCACACAAGAUAAGGGACAUAAUAUGUCUAAAACAACUGGUAUCGUUAAAUGGUUUAACGAAGAAAAAGGUUUCGGCUUCAUUACUCAAGACAACGGCGGCGCUGACGUAUUCGUACAUUUCCGUGCUAUCGCUUCAGAAGGUUUCAAAACUCUUGCUGAAGGCCAAAAAGUAUCUUUCGAAGUUGAGCAAGGCCAAAAAGGUCUUCAAGCUGCGAACGUUGUUCCUGCUUAAUAAUUGAUUUUUUAGCUCAUUAGUUUUACUAAUAGCUGAAAGAUACACAAGCGCUGGCAUUGUCCGGCGCUUGUUUU
rnacentral:sRNA from 1 species